GGGGAACAGGAAGUUCCGCGCAGGCGCGCAUCAUUCUUCAGAAUAAAGGAUACGUCAGAAUUGUGCAGUUGAUACGACAACUUCUGUGUCCGUUUCUAAUAUAUUACUACUGGUAUGAGGCCUCAACAGUGAGGACAAACCCAGCCUGCCUCUCUCCUUCCACACUGAGUCCAAACCCACAGUCACUGGGUCCUGAUUGUGACAGUGGAGCCCAGUUUGCACUGCAGGAUCCAGAGAUGGCAUCAGUGAAGCUGGAAGACUGCAGUCAAACACUGGAGCUGAACGUCAACAUUAAAGAUGAAGAAGAGGAGGAGAAGAUUGGGAAAUCUAUUUCUCAUGGACGACUAGAAUUAAGUCUGGGGCCGGUAACAUCAACAGUGACGACAAACCCAGCCUGCCUCUCUCCUUCCACACUGAGUCCAAACCUACAAUCACUGGGUCCUGAUUGUGACAGUGGAGCCCAGUUUGCACUGCAGGAUCCAGAG